AACCUUCUGUAUCCGUGCUGAGAUUCCGUCACACACUAGCCCACAAGGACUGAUGAGACUUCCAAGAUAAUUGAAGCG
rfam:Schistosoma mattheei strain Denwood, Zambia genome assembly, scaffold: SMTD_scaffold0012706